AGUGAACGCUGGCGGUAGGCCUAACACAUGCAAGUCGAACGGCAGCACAGUAAGAGCUUGCUCUUACGAGUGGCGAGUGGCGGACGGGUGAGGAAUACAUCGGAAUCUACUUUUUCGUGGGGGAUAACGUAGGGAAACUUACGCUAAUACCGCAUACGACCUACGGGUGAAAGCAGGGGAUCUUCGGACCUUGCGCGAUUGAAUGAGCCGAUGUCGGAUUAGCUAGUUGGCGGGGUAAAGGCCCACCAAGGCGACGAUCCGUAGCUGGUCUGAGAGGAUGAACGGCCACAUUGGGAAUGAGACACGGCCGAGAGUCAUACGGGAGGCAGCAGUGGGGAAUCUUCCGCGAUGGACGAGAGUCUGACGGAGCAACGCGGCGUGAGUGAUGACGGACUUCGGGUUGUAAAGCUCUGUUAAUCGGGACGAAAGGCCUUCUUGCGAAAAGUGAGAAGGAUUGACGGUACCGGAAUAGAAAGACACGGCUAACUACGUG
rnacentral:rRNA from 1 species